AGUUGACUACGUGCACGCAGCCGAGGUAAUAAGGAGGGGGGUAGUGUUGGCGGGAAUCAUGGUGCGGGAAGCUAGUGUAGGCGGACCGGUAAGUCCUCUGUGAAAGUCGGGAGCUCAACCCUCGGAUUCCGGUGGAUACUGUCGGGCUAGAGUACGGAAGAUGCGAGUGGAAUUCCUCGUGUAGCGGUGAAAUGCGCAGAUAUCAGGAGGAACACCGAUUGCGAAGGCAGCUCGCUGGGACGUUACUGACGCUGAGACGCGAAAGCGUGGGGAGCAAACAGGAUUAGAUACCCAGUCGUC
rnacentral:rRNA from 1 species